UACGGAGGAUCCAAGCGUUGUCCGGAUUUAUUGGGUUUAAAGGGUGCGUAGGUGGGUUAUUAAGUCAGUGGUGAAAGCCUGCAGCUUAACUGCAGAAUUGCCAUUGAUACUGAUAGUCUUGAGUAUAGUUGAGGUGGGCGGAAUGUGUCAUGUAGCGGUGAAAUGCUUAGAUAUGACACAGAACACCUAUUGCGUAGGCAGCUCGCUAAACUAUAACUGACACUGAGGCACGAAAGCGUGGGGAGCAAUCAGG
rnacentral:rRNA from 1 species